AGUUGUUUUGUGAUUCCUUGGUUUCUUUCUUCGCCUCUUGCUCUCUUCCUGUGACGUAUCUUGUUCUGCAGUGGAACACCUGGAUUGCGCUGAAGCUCAGCUCUGUUAUGACCUACGGGCCACGGUGGUGCCUGCAGUCCUCUGUUGACGGAACUGUCACGUGCGUGACACAACGGUACUAACAGUGAAGGACUGAAAUCAGGAACACGAUGGUCUUGGCCACGGCCGUUAGGCUCACCCAUGGCCGUGCUGGCGCAGCACAACCCACAUUGGAAAGGAAGAACCAACGCUCUCUCUCUGUGCAGGAGGCAUGGCCUUGUAUGCAGGAAACCAUAAGGAAUCCUCCAAAAGGUGAUCAGAUGUAAUAAAAAGUUCAGUAAGGUUCCACGAUAAAAAAUCAACCGUAUGUCUACACACUAUUGAACAAUCAGAAGGCAAAAUAAAAUCCACUUAACAUCAAAAUAAAAUACU